rnacentral:rRNA from 1 species
UGCGGCAGCCUACACAUGCAAGUCGAGCGGAACGAUGGAGCUUGCUCCAGGCGUCGAGCGGCGGACGGGUGAGUAAUGCAUAGGAAUCUGCCCGGUAGUGGGGGAUAACCUGGGGAAACCCAGGCUAAUACCGCAUACGUCCUACGGGAGAAAGCAGGGGAUCUUCGGACCUUGCGCUAUCGGAUGAGCCUAUGUCGGAUUAGCUUGUUGGUGAGGUAAUGGCUCACCAAGGCGACGAUCCGUAGCUGGUCUGAGAGGAUGAUCAGCCACAUCGGGACUGAGACACGGCCCGAACUCCUACGGGAGGCAGCAGUGGGGAAUAUUGGACAAUGGGCGAAAGCCUGAUCCAGCCAUGCCGCGUGUGUGAAGAAGGCUUUCGGGUUGUAAAGCACUUUCAGUGAGGAAGAAGGCCUUGGGGCUAAUACCCCCGAGGAAGGACAUCACUCACAGAAGAAGCACCGGCUAACUCCGUGCCAGCAGCCGCGGUAAUACGGAGGGUGCGAGCGUUAAUCGGAAUUACUGGGCGUAAAGCGCGCGUAGGCGGCGUGAUAAGCCGGUUGUGAAAGCCCCGGGCUCAACCUGGGAACGGCAUCCGGAACUGUCAGGC